AGCACAAAUGAUGAUCAUAAGGGACUUAAUACUGACACAUGAUGUCACUUUUGAGAAGCAACUGAUGUGC